GAUGAACGCUGGCGGCGUGCCUAAUACAUGCAAGUCGAGCGAACAGACGAGGAGCUUGCUCCUCUGACGUUAGCGGCGGACGGGUGAGUAACACGUGGAUAACCUACCUAUAAGACUGGGAUAACUUCGGGAAACCGGAGCUAAUACCGGAUAAUAUUGAACCGCAUGGUUCAAUAGUGAAAGACGGUUUUGCUGUCACUUAUAGAUGGAUCCGCGCCGCAUUAGCUAGUUGGUAAGGUAACGGCUUACCAAGGCAACGAUGCGUAGCCGACCUGAGAGGGUGAUCGGCCACACUGGAACUGAGACACGGUCCAGACUCCUACGGGAGGCAGCAGUAGGGAAUCUUCCGCAAUGGGCGAAAGCUUGACGGAGCAACGCCGCGUGAGUGAUGAAGGUCUUCGGAUCGUAAAACUCUGUUAUUAGGGAAGAACAAAUGUGUAAGUAACUAUGCACGUCUUGACGGUACCUAAUCAGAAAGCCACGGCUAACUACGUG
rnacentral:rRNA from 1 species